GGCGGACGGGUGAGUAACGCGUAGGAAUGUAUCCUGAGGUGGGGGACAACCCUGGGAAACUGGGGCUAAUACCGCAUGUGAGCUGAGGCUCAAAGCCUUCGGGCGCCUUUGGAGUGGCCUGCGUUCGAUUAGCUUGUUGGUGGGGUAAUGGCUUACCAAGGCGACGAUCGAUAGCUGGUCUGAGAGGACGACCAGCCACACUGGGACUGAGACACGGCCCAGACUCCUACGGGAGGCAGCAGUGGGGAAUAUUGGACAAUGGGCGCAAGCCUGAUCCAGCAAUGCCGCGUGGGUGAAGAAGGUCUUCGGAUCGUAAAGCCCUUUCGACAGGGACGAUGAUGACGGUACCUGUAGAAGAAGCCCCGGCUAACUUCGUGCCAGC
rnacentral:rRNA from 1 species